rnacentral:rRNA from 1 species
AUUGAACGCUGGCGGCAGGCUUAACACAUGCAAGUCGAACGAGUGGCGGACGGGUGAGUAAUGCUUGGGAAUCUGGCUUAUGGAGGGGGAUAACGACGGGAAACUGUCGCUAAUACCGAGUACCAUAGGAGGAGCCCAAGUGGGCUUAGGUAGUUGGUGGGGUAAUGGCCUACAAAGCCGACGAGCUCUAGCUGGUCUGAGAGGAUGACCAGCCAACCCGGGACGUAUACACGGCCCGGAGUCCUACGUGAGGCAGCAGUGGGGAAUAUUGCGCAAUGGGGGCAACCUGACGCAGCCAGGCCGCGUGAAUGAAGAAGGCCUUCGGGUUGUAAAGUUCUUUCGGUGACGAGGCGUUAAUCACAGAAGAAGCACCGGCUAACUCCGUGCCAGCCGCCGCGGUAAUUC